rnacentral:rRNA from 1 species
UGGGGAAUCUUGCGCAAUGGGCGAAAGCCUGACGCAGCCAUGCCGCGUGGAUGAUGAAGGUCUUAGGAUUGUAAAAUCCUUUCACCGGGGACGAUAAUGACGGUACCCGGAGAAGAAGCCCCGGCUAACUUCGUGCCAGCAGCCGCGGUAAUACGAAGGGGGCUAGCGUUGCUCGGAAUUACUGGGCGUAAAGGGCGCGUAGGCGGACAGUUAAGUCGGGGGUGAAAGCCCGGGGCUCAACCUCGGAAUUGCCUUCGAUACUGGCUGUCUUGAGUACGGGAGAGGUGUGUGGAACUCCGAGUGUAGAGGUGAAAUUCGUAGAUAUUCGGAAGAACACCAGUGGCGAAGGCGACACACUGGCCCGUUACUGACGCUGAGGCGCGAAAGCGUGGGGAGCAAACAGGAUUAGAUACCCCGUAGUCC